UCGGGAAUUUUGGGCAAUGGGCGAAAGCCUGACCCAGCAACGCCGCGUGAGGGAUGAAGUAUUUCGGUAUGUAAACCUCGAAAGAAUGGGAAGAAUAAAUGACGGUACCAUUUAUAAGCUCCGGCUAACUACGUGCCAGCAGCCGCGGUAAUACGUAGGGAGCAAGCGUUGUUCGGAUUUACUGGGCGUAAAGGGCGCGUAGGCGGCGCGGUAAGUCACUUGUGAAAUCUCUGAGCUUAACUCAGAACUGCCAAGUGAUACUGCUGUGCUAGAGUGCGGAAGAGGCAACCGGAAUUCUUGGUGUAGCGGUGAAAUGCGUGGAUAUCAAGAGGAACGCCUGAGGCGAAGGCGGGUUGCUGGGCCGACACUGACGCUGAUGCGCGAAAGCCAGGGG
rnacentral:rRNA from 1 species